rnacentral:rRNA from 1 species
GACGAACGCUGGCGGCGUGGAUUAGGCAUGCAAGUCGAACGGUAUCAUCCUUUUCGGGGGGUGGAGAGAGUGGCGAACUGGUGAGUAACACGUAGGUUAUCUACCCCUCAAGACGGGGGACAACCCCAGGGAAACUUGGGCUAAUACCGGAUGUGAGCAACUUUUUAGUUUGUUUGAAAGGUGGCGUAAGCUGUCGCUUGGGGGAUGAGCCUGCGUCCUAUUAGUUAGUUGGUGAGGUAACGGCUCACCUAGGCAAUAGAUAGGUAGGCGGCCGUUAACGGGUGGUCGCCCACACUGGGAGUUGAGAUACGGCCCACGACUCCUACGGGAGGCGAGCAGUCGAGAAUAGUCUACAAUGGGGGGGGGGGUCAAGACUGAUAGUGCGACGCCGCGUGAACGAUGAAUCCCUUCGGGGUGUAAAGUUCUUUUAUAUGUGAGCAGUGCUUCUUAUUAUUAACAGUAUGGGGAGAGAGAUAUUAGCAUAUGAAUAAGCAACGGCUAACUCCGUGCCAGCAGCCGCGGUAAACUCGU